rnacentral:rRNA from 1 species
AGUGGAAUUCCACGUGUAGCGGUGAAAUGCGUAGAGAUGUGGAGGAACACCAGUGGCGAAGGCGACUCUCUGGUCUGUAACUGACGCUGAGGCGCGAAAGCGUGGGGAGCGAACAGGAUUAGAUACCCUGGUAGUCCACGCCGUAAACGAUGAGUGCUAAGUGUUAGAGGGUUUCCGCCCUUUAGUGCUGCAGCAAACGCAUUAAGCACUCCGCCUGGGGAGUACGGUCGCAAGACUGAAACUCAAAGGAAUUGACGGGGGCCCGCACAAGCGGUGGAGCAUGUGGUUUAAUUCGAAGCAACGCGAAGAACCUUACCAGGUCUUGACAUCCUCUGACAACCCUAGAGAUAGGGCUUCCCCUUCGGGGGCAGAGUGACAGGUGGUGCAUGGUUGUCGUCAGCUCGUGUCGUGAGAUGUUGGGUUAAGUCCCGCAACGAGCGCAACCCUUGAUCUUAGUUGCCAGCAUUCAGUUGGGCACUCUAAGGUGACUGCCGGUGACAAACCGGAGGAAGGUGGGGAUGACGUCAAAUCAUCAUGCCCCUUAUGACCUGGGCUACACACGUGCUACAAUGGGCAGAACAAAGGGCAGCGAAGCCGCGAGGCUAAGCCAAUCCCACAAAUCUGUUCUCAGUUCGGAUCGCAGUCUGCAACUCGACUGCGUGAAGCUGGAAUCGCUAGUAAUCGCGGAUC